rnacentral:rRNA from 1 species
UCGAGGAUCUUCGGCAAUGGGCGCAAGCCUGACCGAGCGACGCCGCGUGUGCGAUGAAGGCCUUCGGGUUGUAAAGCACUGUCGAGGGGGAGGAAGCUCCGCAAGGAGUUGACCUAUCCCUGGAGGAAGCACGGGCUAAGUUCGUGCCAGCAGCCGCGGUAAGACGAACCGUGCAAACGUUGUUCGGAAUCACUGGGCUUAAAGGGCGCGUAGGCGGGCUGGAUAGUCUGUGGUGAAAUCCCCCGGCUUAACCGGGGAACUGCCGUGGAUACUGCCAGUCUCGAGGAGGGUAGGGGCAUCUGGAACAGCCGGUGGAGCGGUGAAAUGCGUUGAUAUCGGCUGGAACUCCGGUGGCGAAGGCGAGAUGCUGGACCCUUUCUGACGCUGAGGCGCGAAAGCCAGGGGAGCGAACGG